rnacentral:lncRNA from 1 species
GUGAACAACAACCAACAAACCAAGUGUUGACAUCGUCCAGCCAGGCGGCUGAAGUCGAACUACAGACGAUAUCCAACUUCGUUGGAACUGACUGGCAGUGCGGAACAGUGCUAUAGGCAAUUGGACACGAAUACGCAAACGAACCAGCAUGGCACCUCAUUUGGACGGACUGGAAUGUUGCUGAAAUCCUCCUAAAACGAGAUGGCCAAUAAAGAUGCUCCUGCGAAUGCGAAACCUCCACUUCACCUUUUCUGGAGCCUAGGUGCAGUUUUCCACCCGCAAUUAAAUUGUAAACAAACCCCCAAUUAGAUAUUUCCUAGUAUAUACUCUAAUUCUAAGUCAUUAUAAAUCUUCAAUAAGGUAUUUUUAUAUUUUAAGGAAAUACCAAAUCACUAUUCUACCA